CAGGACGAACGCUGGCGGCGUGCCUAACACAUGCAAGUCGAGCGAGGAGAUUCCUUCGGGAUGAUCCUAGCGGCGGACGGGUGAGUAACACGUGGGCAACCUGCCUCAUAGAGAGGAAUAGCCUUCCGAAAGGGAGAUUAAUACCUCAUAACAUUGCAGUUUCGCAUGGAACAGCAAUUAAAGGAGCAAUCCGCUAUGAGAUGGGCCCGCGGCGCAUUAGCUAGUUGGUGAGGUAACGGCUCACCAAGGCGACGAUGCGUAGCCGACCUGAGAGGGUGAUCGGCCACAUUGGGACUGAGACACGGCCCAGACUCCUACGGGAGGCAGCAGUGGGGAAUAUUGCACAAUGGGGGAAACCCUGAUGCAAGCAACGCCGCGUGAGUGAUGACGGCCUUCGGGUUGUAAAGCUCUGUCUUCAGGGACGAUAAUGACGGUACCUGAGGAGGAAGCCACGGCUAACUACGUGCCAGCAGCCGC
rnacentral:rRNA from 1 species